CCUACGGGAGGCAGCAGUGGGGAAUAUUGCGCAAUGGACGAAAGUCUGACGCCUCUCCGCAGCUUUCUUUCUUCCUUUUUUCUUCUCUUCCCCCUCUUUCCUUCUUGAAGAACGCGCAUGGCGCCAAUCAGCCAUGCGUUGACGGUACCUCCAAAGGAAGCGCCGGCUAACUCCGUGCCAGCAGCCGCGGUAAUACGGAGGGCGCGAGCGUUAAUCGGAAUUACUGGGCGUAAAGCGCGCGUAGGCUGUUGUGUAAGUUGGGGGUGAAAUCCCACGGCUCAACCGUGGAACAGCCCUUGAUACUGCGCGACUUGAAUCCGGGAGAGGGUGGCGGAAUUCCAGGUGUAGGAGUGAAAUCCGUAGAUAUCUGGAGGAACAUCAGUGGCGAAGGCGGCCACCUGGACCGGUAUUGACGCUGAGGCGCGAAAGCGUGGGGAGCAAACAGGAUUAGAUACCCUUGUAGUC
rnacentral:rRNA from 1 species